UCGGCCAUGUUUGUAAACAUUAGAAAACGGAGAUCGUGAGACUCGGAACCUUUUCGGAGCGUUCUGAGAAAGAUUCUUGGCCGGAAAAGGCAGGUGGGGCUGUUUGAAGUCGUUUACUAAGAUUCCCCAAAAUCGUUCGCAGCUGUCGCUUCUCCCGGAGACCGCAUCGCAACGGCAGCGGAAAAGAAUCGGCAAUCAGCGUCAGCACCAUGGAUAAGGCCGUUUCUAGCCGUACAAAUGCCAGGAUUGUGAAAGUUCCUGAAGAAGUUUUAAAAACCGUGCUGGGGGAAGUGACAAAAGUGAUCAUCAGAACCGGCUAGCCGCUGCUGAAGGAUUUGUAGGGAAAAUCAGUGAAAAGUAGAGAUUGUGAAGGUAAAAAUGUUUAUAUUUGUGCAAAGUGUCGAAAAAUGUAGUGUUUGUUGAAAAUCUAUGCAGUUUUUGUAAAAUUAAACGAAUAAAAUAAUUACUUUCUCUGUA
rnacentral:lncRNA from 1 species